GAGCCGAAUUUCCUCUCCCUAUUGCUGUGGAAAUGCUUUGUGGUGCAAAACAAACUUGGGGAAUGGAGGGAAGGAAAGACACCUCGCUUCAAACCUGAUCCCCCAGCAGGCAGUUCUCAGUGAUGUCUAGUGCUGUAAACUGAAUCCACUGGGCAGAGUUCCUGGCCUGUGGGCAGUAACUGCCAGUUGUGGUAUAGCAAAGGAAGGAUGCAUUCUGUAAUUCAUCCAUCUGAAUACUGGUGUUGAUGAGGCUGAUGAUUAAAGCAAAAGUCACAGUGUAUAUGCAGAUGCCUGGGGGAUGAAGAGCCUGGUAGGACUUCAGCAAGCCUGGACUGACUUCUGUGGGCUUCAUUAGUUCUUGGCAUCACAGGGAAAGCUACCAAAAAUUCAGACAUGCUCAGCGGAGUUUAUGAUGAAUGACAGCAGAAAUAUCGGAGUGCUGAAAUCGGCUCUGAAUUUCCCCGAGAAAAAUUCUGGUUUACUAUUUUUUAAAUCAUCCUCCUGCGUCUGGGAUUCAUUCUUCCUCAACCGCUGCAGCUCUGCUUGCACCAGGGUGGGCUGAAUUGGACAGUCUCCUCGUUAAUGAUUGAGCAGCUGCCAGCUUUAGAUUUUGUAGGCUCAUGCUUUUGUUUCUUCUCCGAAGUACUCGGGAAGGCUAGAAAGAAAGAAAACAUUAUGACAUUUAACUAAAGACAGCCUCUUCCACCCUACCGCUUCCCUGAUCUGUUGAGUUUCAUCUCGUGUUCUCCUAACGUGCCCCAAACUAAAAAAAAAUCCUAGAACAGAAGAGAACAUUUGUAGGGCCAGAUGAAUGCAGUGCAGUCCACAAAGCCUCCGCAGUGGCACAGUAGCUAGCCAUGUGGCUGAAAUACCACUCUGGGAAGACUGAGCUCAAGCUCAGGCUUGGAAAGGAUUAAAGCUGCUUUGACUGUCCUAAUUCUGAGCUGUGUGGGGGAUGGCCUGGCUGCCAGCUAUGGCACAGAGCCCAAAUGCUAGCACUGAUUGAAGCUUCGAGACUGCAACCAAAAUAAUUACAGUAUGUAUAAUUACAGUCACAUUAUUUCAUUAAAAUUAUUUCUUCAUUAUUUGUAUAUAUUUGUGGUAUUACCUAGGCAAUAUGAAUGGGUGUAUUUCCUGUCUUGAGAAUAAAUAAACUCCAC